UAGGAAUGGAGCGCUGUGUCUUUAAGGGGGACUCGCCCGGAGGUUUCCUCACAGGACAAAAUGUCUGCGAGGAUCUUGGAGGUGAUCGGCGAUCCCAGGCUCGCAGCUCUCCUCCUGCUUCUUCGGGGGUGAUGGGUACUGCUGAUGGCUCUACAGAACUCAGAAGUCACACUGCAGUGUUCCUACCUGAGAACUUGGGUUGGCUGGAAACUCUGAGGCAGUGACAGAGAUCCCCACCCCCCAAGGCCCUCAGGACAUGGCCCAUCAUCUAAUUUGAAGGCGCUGCACGGAGAAUGAGGUGCGACGAGCCGGCCUCGACCAUGGAAGAGAGCGGCGGGCCGGACGGGGCCGCGGGCCGCCUGGGGGCACCGUACUC